rnacentral:rRNA from 1 species
UCUGGUGUCAGCCGCCGCGGUAAUACCAGCUCUCCGAGUGGUAGGGAUAAUUAUUGGGCUUAAAGCGUCCGUAGCCGGCCUGACAAGUCUUCCGUUAAAUCCAACGAUUCAAUCGUUGGACUGCGGGAGAUACUGUUAGGCUAGGAGGCGGGAGAGGCCAACGGUAUUCUCGGGGUAGGGGUGAAAUCCUAUAAUCCCGGGAGGACCACCAGUGGCGAAGGCUGUCGGCUAGAACGCGCUCGACGGUGAGGGACGAAAGCUGGGGGAGCGAACCGGAUUAGAUACCCGGGUAGUCCCAGCUGUAAACUAUGCGGGCUAGGUGUCAGUGUGGCUACGAGCCACUCUGGUGCCGCAGGGAAACCCAUAA